rnacentral:rRNA from 1 species
GGAGGAAAAGAAACCAACCGGGAUUGCCCUAGUAACGGCGAGUGAAGCGGCAAGAGCUCAAAUUUGAAAGCUGGCCCCCUCGGGGUCCGCAUUGUAAUUUGCAGAGGAUGCUUCGGGAACGGCCCCCAUCUAAGUGCCCUGGAACGGGCCGUCAUAGAGGGUGAGAAUCCCGUCUGGGAUGGGGUGGCCGCGCCCGUGUGAAGCUCCUUCGACGAGUCGAGUUGUUUGGGAAUGCAGCUCUAAUUGGGUGGUAAAUUUCAUCUAAAGCUAAAUAUUGGCCGGAGACCGAUAGCGCACAAGUAGAGUGAUCGAAAGAUGAAAAGCACUUUGAAAAGAGAGUUAAACAGCACGUGAAAUUGUUGAAAGGGAAGCGCUUGCGACCAGACUCGCCCGCGGGGUUCAGCCGGCACUCGUGCCGGUGUACUUCCCCGCGGGCGGGCCAGCGUCGGUUUGGGCGGCCGGUCAAAGGCCUCUGGAAGGUAACGCCUCUCGGGGCGUCUUAUAGCCAGGGGUGCCAUGCGGCCUGCCCGGACCGAGGAACGCGCUUCGGCUCGGACGCUGGCAUAAUGGUCGUAAGCGACCCGUCUU